AAGUAAACACGCUCACAUGUAUUGCCAAGAUGGCUGCAGAUACCGAAGUACGAUUUUGUCAGUUGUAAAGCAAAAACAAUUAAACACACGUUAUCUACUGAUUAAUGUUUUUAAUUCCCAGACGGUUUAAAACACAAAUUUUUGUUUCUGCAACGAACGAAACGGCAGAAUGAGUAACAUUUACAUUCAGGAGCCGCCAACAAAUGGAAAGGUGCUGUUGAAGACCUCAGCAGGUGACAUUGACAUUGAGUUGUGGUCCAAGGAGGCUCCAAAAGCAUGCAGGAACUUUGUGCAGCUGUGCAUGGAAGGUUACUAUGACGGCACCAUAUUUCACCGAGUGGUGCGUGAGUUCAUUGUUCAGGGAGGAGAUCCCACCGGGACGGGAACAGGUGGAGAAUCCGUCUACGGCCGGCCAUUCAAGGAUGAGUUUCACUCCAGACUGCGCUUCAAUCGGAGAGGUUUGGUUGCCAUGGCAAACGCCGGGCCGCACGAUAACGGCAGUCAGUUCUUCUUCACUUUGGGACGAGCAGAUGAACUCAACAAUAAACACACCAUAUUCGGGAAGGUGACAGGUGACACAGUUUACAACAUGCUCAGAUUGGCAGAAGUUGAAUGUGACGAUGAUGAAAGACCUUUGAAUGCCCACAAGAUCAGAACAACUGAGGUGCUUCAUUCUCCUUUCGAUGACAUCAUACCGCGUGAACUCAAGAAAGCCAAAAAGGAAAAAGAUAAAGAGGAGGGAAAGAAGUCCCAGUCGAAGGCCACGAAGAACUUCAGUCUGUUGUCGUUUGGAGAGGAAGCUGAGGAGGAAGAGGAGAUGAUGAAUCAAGUCAGCCAGACAUUUAAGGGAAAAAGCAAAAGCAGCCACGACCUUCUGAAAGAUGAUCCCAGACUGAGCUCCGUCCCCGCAGUUGAUAAGAAAAAGAAGAAGGGGGCAUCAGGAGAAACAGCUGAGUCGGACGAUGAGGUUGAGGGUGAUGUCGACAACGACGACGCGGAUACAGACGAAGAGCCCGACCCAGAGAAGAGAGAGAAGAUGAGAGAGCUCAUCAGUAAGAAGUUGCAGAAAGACAAAGGAGCAGAGAAAACGACGGAUCUCGACGAAGACGAGCGAGGAAAGAAGUCGAGCCGCAGUGAUGAAUUGCGGAAAGAGGCGCGGCAGCUGAAGAAGGAACUACAGGCCAUAAAGCAAAGGAAAGAAGAGAGUUUAAAACCUGCUGUGGAUGAAGUCAAGGAGGAGGAUAAAAAGCCGUCCAACGAGGCCGUGGCUGAAUAUCUGGAGGGACGGAAGAAGUACGAAGAGCUCCGGAAACAAAAACUGAAGAAGGGCUCGACCAGAGAAGCUCAGACUCUGGCCCUCCUCAGUCAAUUCAAGUCCAAGUUGUCUUCAGCCAUCACCGAGGCCCCGGAGGAGGACGUGGAGGAGCUGGAGGAGGACGACGACAAAGGAUGAGAGGGAACACUGAGACAGAUUGAAGUUCGGUGCCGUUGAAGCGCUCGCUCACUGACACCGUUCACGGUAGCGAACAUCAGCAGCAGCAGUGAGCAGCAUGUGAGCGCACCAGAGUCCAGAGUGUUCCUGGAGAGUUCAAGAAGCAGUUUGGCAAACGCUGUGUUUUGUGGACGGUGAAGUUGAAGCAUGACAAGUUGGCACGAAAAGGCUUUUUUCAUUAGCCUCCGCUGUGUUGUUCCUAUUGAUACCCUGGUGGUGAACACUGGACGGUAAGAGAAACCAUUUAUUGUAAAAGUAGGAGGCAGAAAAUCAUUCUUUGUUCCCCGAAUGAUUAAACUGACCGUUGUCAGAUCCAAAGCUCGCUUCAGGUUCUGAUGAAUGUGUGUCAAAGUUCAAGUCGCAUGCAUGCAUGUGUGUGUGUGUGUGUGUGUGUGUGUGUGUGUGUGUGUCUCUGUGUGUGUUUGUGUGUCAAGUUUUCGGAUUUCAACCCGCAGCCACCAGAUUGGCCAUCAGGAAAUCAGCCCUGACGCUGUGUUUUCCUCUCAUAUUCUGUUUUUCACCAAAGAUCUCAAAGCCUAACUACACAGAGGAGGUUUGAAAUGAAUACCAUGUGUUUGAAUGUGAGCAGAAAGUGUCUGUGUGUGAGAGAUUUAGAAUAACAAAAUCUGUAGUUGCUAUUAGUCUCGAGAAGCCCCCUUGAAGUGCAGUCCGUGUGUGUGUUGUGUGUCGGUCUGUGUGUGUUUGUGUGUGUGUUCUCAGUGACUCUGAGAGAGGCCUUGGCGGGCUGUUGGAGCCUCUCCCGGCCUGUAGACACCUCACUGUGCCGCCCCCGCCAGGUAUGGCGAGGAGGGAGGGACAGCGGCGGUAGCAUAGCAGUCCUAGAAAAACACCAGUGGGAAGUCUGUGCCACUCUGGGAGCGCUGCGAACAGAAUGUGGGUUACAACAGGUCAGACAUUGGAAGUCAAGUCUGGGCCAGAGGAGGAUGGCCCACGUUCUGCAGUUUGAUGAGCAAAGCAGAAAAGUCAAGGAUGCCAACAUGCACGACGAGGACACCUUCGAGAUCUACGACCCGCGCAACCCCGUCAACAAGCGGAGGAGAGAAGAGAGCAAGAAGCUC